rnacentral:rRNA from 1 species
UUAUAUGAGAGUUUGAUCCUGGCUCAGGAUGAACGCUGGCGGCGUGCCUAAUACAUGCAAGUCGAACGAGUUCUCGUUGAUGAUCGGUGCUUGCACCGAGAUUCAACAUGGAACGAGUGGCGGACGGGUGAGUAACACGUGGGUAACCUGCCCUUAAGUGGGGGAUAACAUUUGGAAACAGAUGCUAAUACCGCAUAGAUCCAAGAACCGCAUGGUUCUUGGCUGAAAGAUGGCGUAAGCUAUCGCUUUUGGAUGGACCCGCGGCGUAUUAGCUAGUUGGUGAGGUAAUGGCUCACCAAGGCGAUGAUACGUAGCCGAACUGAGAGGUUGAUCGGCCACAUUGGGACUGAGACACGGCCCAAACUCCUACGGGAGGCAGCAGUAGGGAAUCUUCCACAAUGGACGCAAGUCUGAUGGAGCAACGCCGCGUGAGUGA